CCUACGGGCGGCAGCAGUGGGGAAUAUUGGACAAUGUGCGAAAGCCUGAUCCAGCCAUGCCGCGUGUGUGAAGAAGGCCUUCGGGUUGUAAAGCACUUUCAGUGGGGAAGAAAGCCUUGGGGCUAAUACCCUCGAGGAAGGACAUCACCCACAGAAGAAGCACCGGCUAACUCCGUGCCAGCAGCCGCGGUAAUACGGAGGGUGCGAGCGUUAAUCGGAAUUACUGGGCGUAAAGCGCGCGUAGGCGGUCUGAUAAGCCGGUUGUGAAAGCCCCGGGCUCAACCUGGGAACGGCAUCCGGAACUGUCAGGCUAGAGUGCAGGAGAGGAAGGUAGAAUUCCCGGUGUAGCGGUGAAAUGCGUAGAGAUCGGGAGGAAUACCAGUGGCGAAGGCGGCCUUCUGGACUGACACUGACGCUGAGGUGCGAAAGCGUGGGUAGCAAACAGGAUUAGAUACCCGGGUAGUC
rnacentral:rRNA from 1 species